rnacentral:misc_RNA from 1 species
UUAACUUAUUUGUUUGUUUACUCAGAGAUGCCACAAAGAUGCAAAAGAGUUUCGUACCUCCGGCGAGCGGCCCCACACCCGGGGGGUGGGUCCACGGCCCGGGGCCCGGAGAGACUCCGGUCCCGCGAGCGCUCCCGCCGAAGCAACGCUGAUGGAUAGGUUCGCGAUGGUUAUAAGCAGCCUUUCGGCGCUUCUUGUAAUGAUCCCUCCGCUGGUUCACCAACGGAGA